GCUGAUCCUGAUCUGGUGGCAUAAGUGAGCACAGCUGUGAAAGGGCCAGGGCAGACGCAAGUGCAAGAGGGGAGAACGCGCUCAGGAAGGAGAUCCAGGAGAGUGGAGGGACCAAAGAUUUGUGUAGCAGAUUCUUCAAUCUCCCUUGUACAUUCUGAAUUUUGAAAGUUUCAGACAUGAACGAUUUCUAACAGGGGACUUAAAAAGCUUCAUCUGGAAAAGAGACUAUAGUGCUAACUUCUGUCCUACCGUACAAUAAAAAUCCAUGAGCUCCAGAAUGGCAAAUGACCACAACAGAAGAAAUGAAGAAUGUUUUGGGUUCUUACUUACAAAAACUGUUAUGCCAAUGCUGAUAAAGUGCCAUGAGGAAAUCUUUUAACCGAUGGGAACUUAAAUACCCACAUACAGG